rnacentral:tRNA from 1 species
ACGCCGGGUCGAUCGUGUUCUGGAUCGCGGGCCUCGUGCUCUCGGCCUGCGUCGGACCGGCGCAGGCGGCGAGCCGCUCGCUGCUGGCGCG